AGGUAAAUUUGGACCACGUCCUUGCACAGCAUGGAGAAGAAAGGUGAGGCCCAUUGAGUUUACAAACACUGAAAAAGACAAACCAGUCUUAAUAUUAAUUUAUUGAGCAAAAGUCCCAAGCGUGCACGUCAGAAACCAAAGGAAGCUGAAAACUGGAAAUUCCUCUCCCCCUCUUAAACUUCAUCACCUUCACAACUGCAACCAACAACUAGUCUUUGAUCUGAGUAUCGCUCCUAUGGCCAACCAACAAGGACAUUCUUCUUCUUCUUCUUCUUCUUCUGUAACUCAAGAUCCAUGGACAUAUGAUGUGUUUGUGAGUUUUAGAGGUAAGGAUACACGCACCAAUUUUACAGAUCAUUUGUACAAGGCCUUGUCCGAUAAGGGGAUCUACACCUUCAUUGAUCGUGAGCUUAAAGUAGGAGAAAAAAUCUCACCGGCCCUUCUCGAAGCAAUUGAAGAGUCACGGAUUUGUCUCAUUGUAUUCUCUGAAAACUAUGCAUCCUCAAGGUGGUGCUUGGACGAACUCGUUGAGAUCCUUCGAUGCAAAAGCUCAACGAAUCAAAUAGUUUGGCCCAUUUUUUACAAAGUGGAUCCUUCGCAUGUACGGAACCAAACAAAUAGUUUUGGUGACGGAUUUGCUGACAUGAACUGCAGAUUUAAGGAUAAUACGGAGAAGGUGCUAAGGUGGAGGAGCGCUCUUAGAGAAGCAGCAAGUUUGAAAGGAUAUACUUGCAAGGCGGGAGAGUAUAUUUCUACCCUCUAUAGUGCACAUAUGUCAGAAGCUACAUUUAUCAACCACAUCGUUGAAGACAUUGUAGUCCUAGUGCUAAACCGCACAUAUUUGAAUGUGGCUAAGUACCCAGUUGGAAUUCACUCUUGUGUAAGAGCUGUGGAAAUGCUUUUAUGUGCUAGUGGGAAUGGUCGCCGCAUAUAGUUGGGAUAUGGGGGACAUCUGGAAUAGGUAAGACAACAAUUGCGAAAGCUGUUUAUAAUGCAAUUGCUCAUAAGUUCGAAGGAUGUUGUUUCUUGGCAGAUGUUAGAGAAAAUUCAAUGCCACAUGGAGGCUUAAUCCAACUACAGGAGACUCUUCUUCAAGAGAUUCUAGGUGGCAAAAAGUUGAAAAUUGUUAGUGCUGAUAAAGGUAUCUCUAUUAUACAAAAAUUGCUAAGGCAUAAAAGGAUUCUCUUAAUUCUUGAUGAUGUGAAUCAAUUGGAGCAAUUAGACAACUUGGCUGGAGUUGGUUGGUUCGGUGAGGGUAGCAGAGUCAUCAUAACUACACAAGAUAGCGGAUUGCUAAAAUGUUAUGGAAUUGAGUUGAUAUAUGAGGUCCAGAAGUUAUAUGACAACCAAGCUCUUGAGCUUUUCAGUUUGAAUGCCUUUGGAAGAAAUGAACCUCCAAAUAAUUAUUUGGAACUCGCAAAACGAGCAAUAGCCUAUGCUCAAGGCCUUCCACUAGCUUUAACACUUUUAGGUUCCCAUCUUCGUAAUAAAGGUAUACAUCGUUGGCAAGCCAUAUUAGAUGGUUAUGAAGGAGAACCUUAUACAGGUAUACAGAAAAUACUUCGAAAAAGUUAUGAUGCAUUAGAUAAUUCAGUGCAACAAGUUUUUCUAGACAUGGCGUGUUUCUUCAAGGGUGAAGAUAAGGACUAUGUGAUGCAAAUACUAAGUUCUAAGCACAAGGCUUCCCAAGAUUGUAUUGAAGUCCUGGUUGAGAAGGCAAUGAUAACUAUUCAAUAUAAUAGGAUUUUGAUGCAUGACUUGCUAGAAAAAUUGGGCAAGGAUAUAGUUCACGAAGAGUGCCCCAUUGAGCCUGGCAAGCAUAGUAGAUUGUGGUUUCAUGAUGAUGUUUACCAUGUUCUAAUAGAAAAUAGCGGAACAAGAAAAAUUAAAGGCAUCAUGGUGAAGUUUCCCAAGCCAGAUGAGAUACCCCUUGAAUGCAAAAAGCUUCUUCGGGAUGGUAAAUCUUGAAAUUUUCAUAAACUGUAAUGCAGUUCUAUCCGGAUAUGUUGAAUAUCUACCCAACGAGUUGAGGUUCAUUGAUUGGGGUAGAUGCCAGUUACAAUUAUUGCCAUCCAAUUUUCAUGCAAGGCAUCUUGUUGUGUUCAAUAUGCCCUGCAGUGAUAUCAGACAAUUGGAGGGAUUUAAGAAAUUCCCAAAGUUGACAUCUAUAAAUUUAAGUGGUUGUCAAUUCUUAGAAAAAAUCGUUGACUUAUCUGGAAUCCCAAAUUUGAAGUACUUGAAUCUAAGUGAGUGUAAACGUUUGGUUGAGGUCGAUGGUUCUGUUGGAUUCCUUGAUAAACUUGUUGAAUUGGAUCUCAGAGAAUGCUUUCAGCUUACAAGGUUUGGAACAAGACUUAGAUUGAAAUCCUUAGAAAGACUUUAUCUAUGUGAUUGUAAAAGGCUUGAGAGUUUCCCAGAAAUAGAUGACAAGAUGGAAUCGCUAAUCAUUUUGGAUAUGGAAGGAAGUGGCAUAAGAGAAUUGCCUUCAUCGAUUGCAUAUCUUACUGGUCUUGAAGUAUUAAAAGCUGAUUAUUGUGAGAACCUUUCAAAUGCGUCAUUACAUCGUAUAUAUGGAUUGCAACGUCUCGGUGAGCUUAGUGUCAAAGGGUGUCGAAAACUCCUUACUUUUGGCAAUGAGGUUAACUUUGAAGGUUCAUCCAGCUACACUGAAUUACAGCUGCUUUCAAAUAGCUCAAAUUUUUCGGAUGACAACUCUCUCUCAUUAGCGCUUCCCAGGCUACGUUUCUUUUUUCUCGGAGGAUGCAAUUUAUCAGAAAGUGAUUUCCUCCCGCCUCUCAAUUGCUGGUCCACAUUAGAAGAACUUGAUCUUUCCGGAAACAAUUUUGUCAGUCUUCCGGAAUGCAUUAGCAAAUUUGUCAACUUGCUCAGCCUUAGAUUGUGUGGUUGCAAGAGGCUUCGGGAAAUUCCAGAAGUGCUUCCACCAAAAUUAAAUUCAGUAACCCUGAAUAGUUGCACGUCACUGGAAACAUUUCCAAAACUGUCACCAGGGCUUCAGCAUUUGUAUUUGACUAAUUGCUUUAAACUAUGUGGCUGUGACAUCACAGAAAACAUUUUGUUGAAUCAGGUCUCUCUCUCUCUCUCUCUCUCUCUCUCUCUCUCUCUCUCUCUCUCUCUCUCUCUCUCUCUCUAUAUAUAUAUAUAUAUACACACACACGUUUUAAGUCAAUGGUUGUUGUAAUUAUUCUAGGUGUCUUCUCAGAGUUCGACAAUCGAAAUUAUAGUUCCAGGAACUGAAGUUCCAAAGUGGUUUAGCUGUUGUAAAGAGGCAACAGUAUUUGAAGAUCCUUUUUCAGAUAAUAAAGGGGAAUACGCUGCUGAAUGUGAAGUUUGUUUUGAAAUUCCUCCAAAUUUAGAAUGGGAGACGUCAAGAUUGGCUCUAUGUGCUGUUUUCGAUCUCAUGACUUAUCAUGGUUGUCAGUUUUGCGCCAAGACUCACAUAAAUGGAAAACUGGUCAACGAGAUAUGGAUUUGGGCUGAGUAUGGCAUUAAGUUAGAGGAAACUCAUGUGUGGCUCAACUGUAGUCCAUUAUUGGAUCCGAACAAGAACAUGGUGGAAGGACCCAUGCGGUUGCAACAGGGUAAUAUGUGUCAAGUUUUAUUUUACUACCACGGUGCAGGGCCGAUGACAAGGUGUGGCGUCCACCUAUUAGGCCACCAGGUUGGUGAUGUCAGUGAGACUGGGAUCAUGGUAGUUGACGAUCAUAUCCAUUGUCACUACCAAGAUGAAUUAGUUUCCUUGUCUUUAACAUCAACGAGUGGAGUUGGGAAGAGGCCUCGUGGAUCAGAUACCAUCGCAGUUGAUAAUCAUGGUCCUAACGUUGUCGUCAUGGAUCAUGAUCAUGAAGAGCAAUACCUUACCUUGUUUUCAGAACCAGCAGAUCAUCCAAAGCGGAGGCAUAUUGAUAUUGAUGAGGAGCAAAAUCUCACCUACUGAUGUGAAUGGAGCUUGUUCAAUCAAGGGAAUUGAUGACGUUGCGGAAGAAAUGUACUUGAUAGAGGUUUAUUUUGGGCAAGCAAUAACAGAUUGUGGCUUGAUCCCUUUAAGCACCAGAGAAGAUGAACAAAGUCCCUAGUUCCCCUGCCCUACUUUAUAUGGAAAAUCAUGUCAUCAUAAAUCAAACCGGCCUGCAAAUAAUGAAGCUAGAAGGAGACAUAAUGCACCUGGCGAGGUUUACAGUUGGAACUUAUUACGCUUGGUCAUUGCCAUAGACCUACAAAAUACAAGCAAUCUACUGGUUCUUGCAUUUUAGGUAAAAAGAAAUCUAUUGGAUCUGAUCUUUUUAAUCAGCUUGCUUCCUUUAUUUUGAGAUGCAAUAUUUAAAUGGGUACCUAUACCUAAAUUUUCUGAAGUAUAAUAUAUUGCAUAUGAGAACAUGAAAUCUUGAUGGGCUAUAGUAUAUCGUGCAUAUUAUUGUUUU